rnacentral:lncRNA from 1 species
GAAACCGCUUAUCUGACCCGUGCGGCACUUGUCUUAUUUCUCGAAGUGAGCAAGUCUAUCUUUCUAUUUGUUAGGUCAGGAUCUACUUGCCCUAAGACCAAGUACAAAAGAGAGAAAAAGAGUUUGAAAAAUAUUGUGUAUUGAUAAAAGUUGAGAGUAUAACUGGUUUAUUAAGGAGAAUGAUGGAGGUUACAUCUUUAUAUAGGCUACUCGCCAUCCAGACUACAAAUAAAAAGGUGUCAAGUAGCGCAUAACUACAAGGCAAAGAGGGAUGCUGCAAGUUUCCAAGAGACUAUAUUUAUUACCCACCUAGAAACUCUAAGGGACUUUUAACCCUUCGGCAUCUGCACCAUCAGUCUUGAGAUUCGCGUAGAAACUUCUAGAACGUUCUAGCAAAACCUCCGAUAGAACGCUCCUUCGAAGAUUGGGCCACUAUCGACGAGAAAUCAGCGGAAAAUAUUUUGUCCAUGACAUACUGUACUCUAAAAGCUUACGCUAUUAGAGACGUCUAGACUCGAGACUUUCCAAAGACGUGGACUUGAAUUAAAUGGAAGAAAAUUAAUAUGCUAAGCUUAAACUGUUAGAGAACGAUAUUUAAAUAUUUUUAUAUUUAACACUUUUCCUCACAUUUGAACUCGAGACUUUUCAAAACAUGGGCUCGAAUUAAAUAGGAGAAAAUUAAUAUACUAGGAGUACUCUAGCGUGACUUGAACUCAGAACCUCAUGUUCUGAUACCAAGUGAAAUAAUCGUUAUACUUUAAAACUUUAAGCUAUUAAAAAAUGAUAUUUAAAUAUUUUUAUAUUUAACAGAUAUUAUACUUUUUUAUCAAAAAUAUUAUUGAAUUAUUAUUUUUUUAUUAAUUUCUCUAUUGUUCUUUAUAUUUAU